rnacentral:lncRNA from 1 species
CAAGGGAAGCAUGUUUAGUUGGAGGCUGCUGCCUUUGGUGUGUUUAGUGAGCUCUGAUCCUUGGACAGAGGCUCUUCUGGAGGACUUCUUAGCUUGUGACCUUCCAAGAAGUACGAUCAGUGAGGGUUGCGCAGUUACCAAAUAUCCGUACAAGGCAUAGCAAGAGGCUUGUAUGGCUAUCACUCCAUUCAGAGCAACAAAAUAAAGAGGAACAGGUACGCUAACAAUAAGCCCAAUUGAAAUGUCAGCACUUAGCAGCAGCUCAACAAGGGCUCUUGCAGAAUCGUUCCUGAUCCUGAUUCAGCAGUCAUGUAGCUUUUCCUGCCUGUAUGGAACAUGGCUGGCUAAGAUGGCGGCAAGAGAGAACAGCGGAAGAUGGGGGGACAGAACCUCUACAGAUGGACAAACCAACAAGGAUGAAGUAAGGACUAAACAUGGAACUGCUGCCAGCUUUUGGAAUGAAGCUUGUGCCAAACUCUGUGUUGUUGCUGAUUUUCACAUGAUGGAUGUGGAAACGCCUGGUUUUGUCAGAGCUGGCUUUGCUGAAGAUGCCUUGCAGGACUGCAGAAGGGGAAACCCAGCUCUCCUCCAGCUCAACUCUGUUGCAUCUGGUACAGCUGAAACCAUACCAAAGGAAGGACAUGUCCAAAGCCCUCUCUUGGGAGGAGGCUGAUGAGUGUCAUGGUGAGUUACUGACACCAUUAAAAGAAAUGGCUGCUGGCAGACCUCUUUGCUUGUGAACACUGUGGCUCUGGACAGAUGGAUAUCACAUCUUGACUGCUUCUGGGAUGUUCCAAAGUCUUCAGAAGCCCCCUGAGCCCAGGGCUGCGUGCUACACCGAAAUGUUCAAUCCUGCAUUUGAAUAAGCUGAAUCAAGCCAGCCAUACUGCUAAACAUAUGCAUGGAGGCUUCUUACAUAAACGAACGUUGCCCUGAAGCACUUGUAGUGCAGUUGUUACUGCCUUGUGUUAAUGGAGAAGGACCCCAAAGAGAAUGGAGUGUAAG